AGUGGCGAACGGGUGAGUAAAGUAUCGGAACGUGCCCAGUCGUGGGGGAUAACGUAGCGAAAGUUGCGCUAAUACCGCAUACGAUCUAUGGAUGAAAGCGGGGGAUCGCAAGACCUCGCGCGAUUGGAGCGGCCGAUAUCAUAUUAGGUAGUUGGUGGGGUAAAGGCUCACCAAGCCGACGAUCUGUAGCUGGUCUGAAAGGACCACCACCCACACUGGGACUGAGACACGGCCCACACUCCUACGGGAGGCAGCAGUGGGGAAUUUUGGACAAUGGGCGCAAGCCUGAUCCAGCCAUGCCGCGUGCAAGAUGAAGGCCUUCGGGUUGUAAACUGCUUUUGUACGGAACGAAAAGGUUUGGCCUAAUAAGCUGAGCUCAUGACGGUACCGUAAAAAUAAGCACCGGCUAACUACGUGCCAGCAGCCGCGGUAAUACGUAGGGUGCGAGCGUUAAUCGGAAUUACUGGGCGUAAAGCGUGCGCAGGCUGUUAUGUAAGACAGAUGUGAACUCCCCGCGCUCAACCUGGGAACUGCAUUAGUGACUGCAUAGCUGGAGUACGGCAGAGGGGGAUGGAAUUCCGCGUGUAGCAGUGAAAUGCGUAUAUAUGCGGAGGAUACCGAUGGCGAACGCUAUCCCCUGGGUCCUGUACUGACGCUCAUGCACGAAAGCGUGGA
rnacentral:rRNA from 1 species